rnacentral:lncRNA from 1 species
AGGGAAAGGAAGGAAAAGAAAAAAGAAGAGGAAAAAGGGGAAGAGGAGAGGAAGGGUAGGAGGUGAAAGGAGAAGGAAAAACAGCGGAGAGGAGAAGAGAAAAGCCUAGACAGAGCCUAUAGGGUGGGCCUGUAGCUGCAGCUUGACACCUGCGUGGCCUCCCAGUCACCUUCACCAAGGCCUUUGGCUGCCCUAUUGGCUGCCCCAAGAGAGGCCAGAUUCUGAAAAGCCUCCAGGCUCCUCACACCCCAGAUCCUUGCCUUCAGUGAGUCCCCUAUCUCAGGUCCCGCCAUGGCAGUCCUAGCCUCUCCCUGCCUCACCCAGCUUCCUGCCCUCCCAGGGUGCACCUGCACCUAAUCCUUAAUUUGAUUAAUAUUCACCAAGUCCAGGCUACCUCUGGGGACGGCACCUAGACUCCCCUGGGCUAGUUUUUCUUUAGUGCUAAGUCCUAACACAGCACACACUGAGGCCAAAGUCUCUGCCCUGUGGUACCCAGUUCCCCUGAAGCCCAUGGUGCAGCAAUCUCUGGGCUUCAGGGGUGAAAUCUGCCUCCUUGGGGCAAUGAGGAAGCACAGUGUGAGAUAAAAUGGCUCCAGAAGGUUAUCAGCCUUGAUUGGGGCCAGGAAGGAUAUCAUUCAACGGAAUGCUUCCAAGUUACCUUCCCCACCAAUGACCUUCAGGAAUCCCUUCUUCCUGAACAGGGAGCUCCAGUUCAGUGGCCUGGCCUGAAGGCUCACUGUGCUUUGGGGGGUUAAGGCCCCCUGGGGGAACCCUAUGGUCCUCCUACUGGGCAACAAGGCCACUUCAUCUCCUGCUCAGGCUGGUGAUUGCCUUCCUGGUUCCCGACUACUCCUGAGCCCUACUUCUUUUCUACCCCAACCCCAAGCAGACAAGAAGGGCAGGGCUAGUGUGGUACACAGGGAAGAGCACAGGACCCGAUUCAGGAGGUUCUGUUCUGGCUGAGGCUGAUGCAGUGACCUUGGUCUUGACCUUGACUAAUGCUGCAUUCCUUGCAACUAUAAAAGAAGAGUUUUGCCUCUAUGAUCCCCAUGCUGCUUGUUUCUAAUGCUUACUGGUGUGUUUCCCACAGGUUUUUAAGGAACCAUGUGCUCUGCUGGGGCCUAGCAGAAGAGUAGGAGGGAGAUGCUGGAAGGAGCCCAUCUGCUGCUCUGGGAAAGGC